GCAAAGCUGGUGGGGAGUUUGGCUGGGGCGGCACGACUACUAAAACAUAACGUAGACGUCCAAAGGUAAGCUCCGAGGGGAUGGAAACCACUCCGAGAGUAUAAGGGCAAAAGCUUGCUUUAGUUAUUAAUGUAAAUUAAUAAUACUGGAAACAGGGGCCUAGAGAUCCUCUAUGAAACUAAGCAUAGAGGUGACGGAAAAGUUACCACAGGGAUAACUGGCUUGUGGCGGCCGAGCGUCCAUAGCGACGCCGCUUUUUGAUUCUUCGAUGUCGGCUCUUCCGAGCAUGGUGGAGUAUCAGCCACCAAGUGUGUGAUUGUUCACCAACUAACAGGGAACGUGAGCUGGGUUUAGACCGUCGCGAGACAGGUUAGUUUUACCCUACUGCAUCGCGUCCGAGAGUAGGUCGGGGCAGUACGAGAGGAAGUGCCGAUCAGAACCGCUGGUGAUACUUUCGUCUGUUAAGGCGCGAAGUGUAGCUACGUUCUUCUUAUAAUAGCUGAAAGCCUCUAAGCUAGAA
rnacentral:rRNA from 1 species